AGAGUUUGAUCCUGGCUCAGGAUGAACGCUAGCGGCAGGCCUAACACAUGCAAGUCGAGGGAGAAGCCUUCGGGCUGAAACCGGCGCACGGGUGCGUAACGCGUAUACAAUCUGCCUUUUAUCCGGGGGAUAGCCCGAAGAAAUUUGGAUUAAUACCCUAUGGUAUAAGAGCACGGCAUCGUGCACUUAUUAAAGCUACGGUGGUGAAAGAUGAGUAUGCGUUCUAUUAGCUAGUUGGAGAGGUAACGGCUCCCCAAGGCUAUGAUAGAUAGGGGUUCUGAGAGGGAUGUCCCCCACACUGGUACUGAGAUACGGACCAGACUCCUACGGGAGGCAGCAGUGAGGAAUAUUGGACAAUGGUCGGAAGACUGAUCCAGCCAUGCCGCGUGCAGGAAGACGGCCUUAUGGGUUGUAAACUGCUUUUGCAGGGGAAGAAUAAGGACUACGUGUAGUUUGAUGACGGUACUCUGCGAAUAAGCAUCGGCUAACUCCGUGCCAGCAGCCGCGGUAAUACGGAGGAUGCGAGCGUUAUCCGGAAUCAUUGGGUUUAAAGGGUCCGUAGGCGGGCUAAUAAGUCAGAGGUGAAAGCGCUCAGCUCAACUGAGCAACUGCCUUUGAAACUGUUAGUCUUGAAUGGUUGUGAAGUAGUUGGAAUGUGUAGUGUAGCGGUGAAAUGCUUAGAUAUUACACAGAACACCGAUAGCGAAGGCAUAUUACUAACAAUUAAUUGACGCUGAUGGACGAAAGCGUGGGGAGCGAACAGGAUUAGAUACCCUGGUAGUCCACGCUGUAAACGAUGGAUACUAGCUG
rnacentral:rRNA from 1 species